CACGUAGGGGGCGAGCGUUGUUCGGAAUCAUUGGGCGUAAAGGGCGUGCAGGCGGCCCUGCAAGUCUGGCGUGAAAAGCCCCGGCUCAACCGGGGAGACGCGCUGGAAACUGCGGGGCUAGAGUACAGGAGGGGAUGCCGGAAUUCCAGGUGUAGGGGUGAAAUCUGUAGAUAUCUGGAGGAACACCAAUGGCGAAGGCAGGCAUCUGGCCAUGUACUGACGCUGAGACGCGAAGGUGCGGGGAGCAAACAGG
rnacentral:rRNA from 2 species